CUAGCACACUUCCCCCCCCCUUUCUCUCUCUCUCUCUCUCUUGUUCCAUUAUAGAGAAAACAAGAACAAAAAUGAAAUCGGAGAAACUGAUGAGCAUUAGAUCGAUGUAGACGCCAUCUAGAUCUAGAUCUGUACCGUCAUCUAGACCUGGAUCCAUCAUGUUUCUUUUAAACCCGUCAAGAUCUAGAUCUGGAUCCAUCAUGUUUCUUUUCAAACCCCAUGAAGAUGGAUCCUCUUUGGUUUAUUUUGAAGAAAAUCAUACACGAAGAAGAUGAUGAAUCAGAUAUUGAAGAGAAGGCUGAAGUUUUUGUUCAAAACCAGGGAAAGAUCCGGUGAAAUUACACAUUUUUUUACGUUUUUGAGGAGGCUGAAAGGGUUUGUUCGAAAAUCUUGUUCAAGAAGGUGAAUAAAUCUUGUUCAAGAAGGUGAAUAAGUAUGUUUUUUUUCCAGCAUUUUUGCAAAUCUACACUUUGAAGAAGAUGUUUCAGAUGUUGAAGAUGAUGUUUCAGAUGUUGAAGAUGAUUCAAAAGACGUUUGCAUGUUACAUUUUUUCCCCUGAGAUUUAUGUAGACUUUUUGCUGUGUUGAAUCUGAGAAUUUUAUAUGUUAUGGAUUUUUUGGUGUUGUUUUUACCAUGUUACAUUUUAUUUUUGUCUCAGGUUUUUGUACAUUUUUGCUGUAUCCGUGUUACAUUUUUUUUUCACUGAGAUUUUUGUACAUUUUUGCUCUAUGUGUGUUUGAUCA